rnacentral:lncRNA from 1 species
CAAUGAGCCAGCUGCUAAAAUCUUCCAUCAUGAAGUGGAAUGGCUUGGAAGAUAGGAGAUGAAGGGUUUUUGAAAGAAGAAAAACAAUGAGAAAUAAGGAACAUUCCUAUCCCCACCUCCAGGACCUGGAAGCAUAGGGUGUGGGAGCAAAAACCACCACCCCCUGCAAAGGCUGAAGAGAUAUUUUCACAGUUGGAUAAGAUGCUUCUUAGAUGAUCACCAAUACUCCAUGCCUACUCAUCAGUCCAGCCACUUGAAACAAUCACCAGUACAACAGGACCGCCAUAUCUCCAUGAUAUGAAAUGAAGAGCUCAUCCACGUGCCAGGAAGGUGGUGCACCCCAGCUGAAUGGGAACAGAAGUUCCUGUGCUCAGGACCCUUCUAGACUUCACUUUAUGUAUCUUUUUAUCUGGAUAUUUAUUCAUAUCCUUUCAAAUACCCUUCAUAAUAAAUCAGUAAACGUGUUUCCCUGAGUUCUGUGAGCCACUCCAGCAAAUUAAUCGAACCCAAAGGUGGGGGGAGGAGGUUCACGGGAACCCCAAUUUGAAGCCAGUCAGUCCGAAGUUCCAGAAGCCUGGACUUGCAACCGGGGGGAAGGAGGGGAUGGGCUUGUGGGAGUAAGCUCCUAACCUGUGGGAUCUGAUGAUUUAUCUGGGUAGAUAGUUGGAAUUAAAUUAGAGGACACCCAGCUGGGUCCUCCUGCAGAAUUGACUGCUUGCUUGCUGGAGGGGGAAAAUAAACACAUAUUUUUGGAUCACAGAA